rnacentral:rRNA from 1 species
UACGUAGGGUGCAAGCGUUGUCCGGAAUUAUUGGGCGUAAAGAGCUCGUAGGCGGUCUGUCGCGUCUGCUGUGAAAAUCCAGGGCUCAACCCUGGACCUGCAGUGGGUACGGGCAGACUAGAGUGCGGUAGGGGAGAUCGGAAUUCCUGGUGUAGCGGUGAAAUGCGUAGAGAUCGGGAAGAACAUCGGUGGCGAAAGCGCUCUACUGGACCGCAACUGACACUCAGGGACGAAAGCUAGGGGAGCGAAUGGG